UUGUGCUGAGGAGACAGAGCCGCACACACUCACACUCACAUACACACACUCUCUCACACAUGACUGUGAAGGUGAAUGAUGGCCGAUGAUAACUCACUAACAGAUUUCGUGGAGUCUCAAGGGCUUCGCAUGCAGUGAAUAAGUCACAUUUAAUGUCCUGUAAUCGCGUCAGUGUGUGCGUCUCUGUUCCCUUCAACUCUGUUUCACUGGGCCUUAUGCUUAAAUGUACACUAUCUAAACUGUGUCUCAAUUCACAGGGUCCCUAGGCAGUGAGGUUUAAUUUGUGGCAAGUGAACAGUUCUCACCGUGUAAUAGAAAAGAGAAGCAGAGAGAAUAACGAUCUAAGACAUUUUAAAGAAUGCUGAAAACCUGUAACCAUUGACUUCCGGAAAACAAAUACUGUGGAGAUCGAGGACCUCAAGGACGACACACGAUGAUGCCAACCAUAGAGGACUUCUAGAGAUCUCCAUAAUCCUGGACCAGGCCGCAUCCUGAGCAGAUGCUGUAGUGGACAUGGAGUAGUGGAGAGCAUGAGACUGAUUCCUAAAAGACCCCAGUUUCAGACGAGUCUCCGCAUAGUUCUUAUGGGCCAGCCUGUACACCCGCUGCUGACCUACUCACACCUGUAGCAUCUUCAAGAUGGACGUCCCACAUUCUCCAGCCUCUGGCGUCUUUGGGACUUGUGGAGCUGCGCAUUGAUGGAUUGAUGAAUUUGCUCUUCAGCGUUUCGACUUUCAGCUGUAAAAAAUUAAACCACACUGAACUGAACUAAACUGAACUUCAACUCUGAAAACUGGACUGACACAGUUUCAGUUUACUAUAGUUUUCUAUGUUAAGCUGUUUUGACACAAUCUACAUUGUAAAAGCACUAUAGAAAUGAAGAUGAAUUAAAUAAAUGGUUACAGGAUUUCA
ensembl:processed_transcript